rnacentral:lncRNA from 1 species
CUGCCCUAGAACUACACUCACACAGAAGGGGACAGUCCAGCCCAUCUUCCUGCAGCUGCCACAGUGGGCAACUCCUCAGUUUCUUACCAGCUCCCCGUGUCUUUGGGGUGCUGGUGACUUAGUUAAGAAGAUGUUGAAAAGACAUGGGAUAUAGUACUGAAAUCCGUAAGAGCUGCACAAAUGACAUCAGGACAAGAGGUGACACCUGGUUUCAGAAGUGCAGCAGGAUAUAACCUGAGCUGAUAGCUGGCAGUCACUGGCGUUCGUUGAACCGAGGAUCUUAAAUGCCCUCCUCCUCCUUUCUGUGCUAUUUUGGCUCUCUGAGGGGAGAGCUCUACCAUGCAUAAGGCUACACGCGUCAUUAACAGACUGGUGCAUCUAUCAGGAACGCAGUGGUGCUCAGGAUACUCUGUAUAUCUGCAAAUUAGGAGACAAACGGCCCUUUCCCACCUAACCUUACCUGAACUGAAAGCAAACUGAGAUACCACCUAAAAGCUGAAGACAGGCGGG